UUCAUCAUCCCUGGGGCUCCUGGAGAUUCCUCAGAUGGGUUUCCUGGUAAUGAUUCCAAUUUACCAGCACAAGCAUGAGAGGUAGGUUCACCUGGUGAGUUGAUUGCAAGGCACGUGGAUCAGGCAAAAAGCCAAUGGGAUCAGGUGAGGUUGCUCCUUCAGGUCGACCGUCCUACUCAGCAGAGACCAGACCUGCCCCUCGAUUUCCAGCCCUGCGUCUGGUGUGUUUUCUCAGCUCCUCAGUGGGACAAGAAAGGACCGAGCCUGCCAGAACCAAGGAAUCUGGGAACUGCAAAGUGAGGAGAUUAUCCUGUUGAAGGAGCUGGGAAGUGGUCAGUUUGGAGCAGUCCAUCUGGGCAAGUGGAAGGGGCAAGAUGAUGUUGCUGUGAAGGUGAUCAAGGAGCUCCAUGUUAGAAGAUCAAUUCUUUCCAGAGGUCCAGACCAUGAGGAAUCUGGGAACUGCAAAGUGAAGAGAUUACCCUGUUGAAGGAGCUGGGAAGUGGCCAGUUUGGAGCGGUCCAUCUGGGCAAGUGGAAGGGGCAGGAGGAUGUUGUUGUGAAGGUGAUCAGGAGCUCCGUGUCAGAAGAUGAAUUCUUCCCGGAGGCCCAGACCACGAGAAUCUGGGAACUCCAAAGUGAAGAGAUAACCCUGUUGAAGAGCCUGGGACAGUUUGGAGCGGUCCAUCAGGCCAAGUGGAAGGGGCAGGAGGAUGUUGCUGUGAAAGUGAUCAAGGAGCUCCGUGUCAAAAGAUGAAUUCUUCCUGGUAGGCCCAGACCAUGAGGACACUGGGCUGCACUCUAAGAAAUUCCUGGCUCUCCCCUGGAUCCUGGCCAUCGCGUGACCAGAGAAACUGUACUGGAGACCUGGGUAGGACCUGGCCUGCGUCUGAAUGCCAGCGCUCAGAUGUCUGGGGUCUGGAGCUGAGGUGGCUUCUCUGGGUAACGUGCUCUUCUCUGAGGGGGUUCCAUGGCCCUCCCAGGGGUCAGUGCUGCCGUGAGCUGAGUCUUUCCCCCUGCUUUUCACUUUCCCUGGGGUUCCUGGACACUCCUCAGGUGGGCUACCUAGUAAUUAUUCCAAUUUUCCAGCACAUUCAGGUUGAAUAGGGAGGCGGGUUGACCUGGUGAAUUGAUUGCAGGGCACAUGGAUCAGGCAAGGAGUCAAUGGGCAGCAGGUGAGGUUGCUGCUGUGAUCGCCUUCAGGCCAACCGUCUCUACUCAGCAGAGACCAGACCUGCCCCUCGUCUUCCAGCCCUGCGUCUGGUGUGUUUUCUCAACACUUCAGUGGGAAAAGAAAGGACCAAGCCUGCCAGAACCAAGGUGUGUGUCCAACAUUAUCAUGAUGCUAUAAAAAUGGUCAAUAUCACACAGAACCAAAGGGAAAAGAGAACUUCUCUGGGAUAAAUGUGGGGAGAGGAGACUGACCCUACACUUCUUCCUACCAUCCCUGGAGGUUACAGAAACCCACUUGUUUUUAUCUUGGGGGCCCAAUUAGCAGAGACAUGGAGUUCUAACCAACGGUUGUGUGACCCCAGGUGCACAGCCUGGGGAGGUGGUGUCACCUUGGAGACUGUGGACAUGUGUCCCCAGGUGCUUGGUCUGGAGAUUGUGUGGGUCUCACCCCAUCCAUGUGGGUCAGGAACCUGUAUCCAGAGACCCCCUGUCUGCUCUUUAUCUGCAGUAUCUCGUCCCCUCUGAGAUUCUCAACCUCUGAACUGAGGCUGUUGCCCUGAUUAAUCCGUGGUCCUUUUUCUUCUCUCUUCUUGUCGAUUUCAUCUGAGGUCAGGACCUUUGAGCGAGUUGCUGCUCUGUGUUCUGCUGAGUGAAAACCUUUGAUGGUGUCUUAUUCAUUUCACAGCAUAUCACAUGUCUAAUUCAUAGGGUCUCCACAGUCUGGUUUCCCCUACACCAAACUCAGAUAAUUUAAUGUAUAAUUUAAUUUUUAUUUUACAGUGCAAUCAAGUUGAUUUCCAUUGUUUUCUUGCCUUUAGAUGUACAGGAACUUGAUUCAGUUUUACAUAGAGGUGUAUCUAUUGUUUUUCCAUUUUUUCCCUCAUACAGGUUGCUAGUGUUUUGAGUUCCUUAUUCUAUUAAGUAGGUCAUAUUUGAUUAUCAAUUUGAUAGAUUAGUGUGUAUAUUUUAAUCCAAAACUCUUAAUUUAUUCCUCCCUUUUAACCUUCUUUUGAUAGUCAUAAUUUGGUUUUCUCAGUCUGUGAAUCCAUUUGUUUCGUAAAUUAGUUCAUUGGUAUGAAGUUACAGAUUCCACUUGUAUGUGAUAUCUUGCGAUAUUUGACUUUUUGUCUCUGAUUUACCUCACUUAGUAUGAAAAUUUUUCAGCCCAUCUGUGCUACAGCCAAUGCCAUUAUUUUUUCUGCCUCGUGGCUGAGUAGUAUUCCAGUGCAUAGACCUACCGGCUAGUGUUCAUUUUUCUGUCAGUGGAUUUUCUAUUGGCUUCUGUGUCUUGGCUAUUGUAAAUCGUUCUACCUUGAAAACUGGGGUGCACAUGUCAUUUCAAAUGAUAAAUUCCUCCAGAUGUGAGCCUGGGAGUGGGAUCUCAGGAUCAUAUGACACCUCUGGGUUUAGUGUUUCAAGGAACCUCCGUGCUGUUUUCCAUCGCGGCUUCACCAUUCACAUUCCCACCAGGACUUUUGGAGGAUUCCCUUUUCCGUACAUCCUCUGCAGUAUUUAUUUCUGGAGAUCUUUUUGAUGGUGGUUGUUGUGACCAGUGGAGGAGGAAAUGGCAACCCAGUCCAGUAUUCUCGCCUGGAGAAUUCCAUGGACGGGGAGCCUGGCAGGCUACAGCGCAUGGGGUCACAAAGAGUCGGACACGGCUGAGCGCACAGCACACACUGCGGCCAGUGUGAGGUGAUACCUCACUGUAGUUUUGCUUGGCAUUGAUUUAAUGACUUUAUGGGGAGUAUCUUUCCAGUGCUUUUAUUUUACACCUAAAUUGUGAGUACAAUUUGCCUCUUGAAUCUGGCUUCUUGAAACUUGGCCCUGUUCGGAAUUCUUUUAUGAUGAUUUACGCUAGGACCUUGCUUGAGGGCAGGUGUCAUUUAUAGCCCCGUGGGACUUGUGACUAGUGAGAGCCUUUCAGCACCUGUUUUAAGGUGCAUAUAUUGAUGUGAAUCAGCUAAUUUCUCCCUGCUCCCCCCAACUUUCUUUUUUAGUAACCAUGAGAUUCUUCUCUAAGUCUGUGAGGCUGUUUCUCUUUUGUAAUGAUAUUCAUUUGUAUCCAUUUUUAGAUUCCACCAGAAAUCAUCUCCUAUGAUACCUCUCCUUCCUGUUUCACUUACUUCACUUAGUGUGAUAAUCUCUGGUUUCUUCCCUGUAACUGGAAAUGGCAUGAUUUCAUCCUUGUUUAUUUCUAAGUAAUAUUGUAUUGUGUAUAUAUACCCCGUCUUCUGUAACCACUCCUCUGUCCUUGUACACUUAAGUUGCUUCCCUGUCUUUGCUAUUGUGCUUAGUGUUGCCAUGAUUGUUGGGCUGCAGGUAUCUUU